UUCUUUGCUGCCCUUAGAAGACAGAUGCUUCUAGAGAGCGUAUGCCAAAGGCACCCAUUAUGGUUUUAAGUGUUGUCAGAGACGCCAGGCAUUUUAUUGAUGAAGGUUUUGUUCCUUCUCAGAAAAGAGAAAUAGAAAGCCCAUGUGAUUAGAGAGAGGUGUGCCUCAAAAUAAAUGUUAAUGCUGUUUGUUCAUAUAGCACUUUUUUCUGGAAACAGUCUUAGAUGAUACAUGAAGAUGUGUGUGUGUGUGUAUAUGCCAAUGUGUAUCUUUUAUCCAUGUGUAUACUUU
rnacentral:lncRNA from 1 species